rnacentral:rRNA from 1 species
GGAUAUGUUGUUAAAGGUUUACCGCCUUGGGAUAGGCUUGCGUCUGAUUAGUUAAGUUGGGUGUGGUAACGGCACACCAAGGCUACGAUCAGUAACUGGUCUGAGAGGAUGAUCAGUCACACUGGAACUGAGACACGGUCCAGACUCCUACGGGAGGCAGCAGUGAGGAAUAUUGGGCAAUGCUCGAAAGAGUGACCCAGCAACGCCGCGUGGAGGAUGAAGGUAUUCUAUAUCGUAAACUCCUGUGAGAGCAGACGAAAGACAGAUUAUUAAUCUGGAUGACUGUAUGCUCAGAGGAAGCCCCGGCUAACUACGUG